GGCGAAGUCACUGAUACCACGCUUCCAGGAAAAGCUCCUAAGCUUCAGCUUACGCAGACCGUACCGUAAACCGACACAGGUGGGUAGGAUGAGAAUUCUCAGGCGCUUGAGAGAACUCGGGUGAAGGAACUAGGCAACAUGGCACCGUAACUUCGGGAGAAGGUGCACCCUUUUUGGUGGCUCGUGCGAGCUAUAGCUGAAGAGGGUCGCAGUAACCAGGCCGCUGCGACUGUUUAUCAAAAACACAGCACUCUGCAAACACGAAAGUGGACGUAUAGGGUGUGACGCCUGCCCGGUGCUGGAAGGUUAAUUGAUGGGGUCAGCCGCAAGGCGAAGCUCUUGAUCGAAGCCCCAGUAAACGGCGGCCGUAACUAUAACGGUCCUAAGGUAGCGAAAUUCCUUGUCGGGUAAGUUCCGACCUGCACGAAUGGCGUAACGACAGCGGCGCUGUCUCCACCCGAGACUCAGUGAAAUUGAAAUCGCUGUGAAGAUGCAGCGUUCCCGUGGCAAGACGGAAAGACCCCGUGAACCUUUACUAUAGCUUUACACUGAACGUUGAGUUCGUCUGUGUAGGAUAGGUGGGAGGCUAUGAAACCAUGGCGCUAGCUGUGGUGGAGCCAUCCUUGAAAUACCACCCUGUCGUGCUUGACGUUCUAACCUGGGCCCAUUAUCUGGGUCGGGGACCGUGUAUGGUGGGUAGUUUGACUGGGGCGGUCUCCUCCUAAAGAGUAACGGAGGAGCUCGAAGGUACGCUCAGCGCGGUCGGACAUCGCGCACUGUGUGCAAAGGCAUAAGCGUGCUUGACUGCAAGAUCGACGGAUCAAGCAGGUAGGAAACUAGGACUUAGUGAUCCGGUGGUUCUGUAUGGAAGGGCCAUCGCUCAACGGAUAAAAGGUACUCCGGGGAUAACAGGCUGAUACCGCCCAAGAGUUCAUAUCGACGGCGGUGUUUGGCACCUCGAUGUCGGCUCAUCACAUCCUGGGGCUGUAGUCGGUCCCAAGGGUAUGGCUGUUCGCCAUUUAAAGUGGUACGCGAGCUGGGUUCAGAACGUCGUGAGACAGUUCGGUCCCUAUCUGCCAUGGGCGUUGGAGAUUUGAGAGGGGCUGCUCCUAGUACGAGAGGACCGGAGUGGACGAACCUCUGGUGUUCCGGUUGUCACGCCAGUGGCAUUGCCGGGUAGCUAUGUUCGGAAGCGAUAACCGCUGAAAGCAUCUAAGCGGGAAGCGCGCCUCAAGAUGAGAUCUCCCGGGGCACAAGCCCCCUGAAGGAACCAUGUAGACUACGUGGUUGAUAGGUCAGGUGUGUAAGUACAGCAAUGUAUUGAGCUAACUGAUACUAAUGAUCCGUGCGGCUUGACCAU
rnacentral:rRNA from 1 species